rnacentral:rRNA from 1 species
AGAGUUUGAUCAUGGCUCAGGAUGAACGCUAGCGGCAGGCUUAAUACAUGCAAGUCGUGGGGCAGCAGGGGUAGCAAUACCCGCUGGCGACCGGCAAACGGGUGCGGAACACGUACGCAACCUUCCUUUAACUGGAGAAUAGCCCCUCGAAAGAGGGAUUAAUAUCCGUAACAUAUACAUGUGGCAUCACAAGUAUAUUAUAGCUCCGGCGGUUAAAGAUGGGCGUGCGCCUGAUUAGAUAGUUGGCGGGGUAACGGCCCACCAAGUCUGCGAUCAGUAACUGGUGUGAGAGCACGACCAGUCACACGGGCACUGAGACACGGGCCCGACUCCUACGGGAGGCAGCAGUAAGGAAUAUUGGUCAAUGGACGCAAGUCUGAACCAGCCAUGCCGCGUGGAGGAUUAAGGCCCUCUGGGUUGUAAACUCCUUUUAUCUGGGAAGAAAUCCGGGANUCUGUUCCGGUUGACGUUUCAGAGAAGNCCCCACGGC